GAUUUUAUCAAUUUGAUAAUCUAAUCAAAGAUGUCAUCUACUCCUGACAAUUUCAAGGAAGCCGCUGUUAGUUUUGAUUCCUGAAAAUUUACAACCAUUUAUAUCACUACCCUCAACUAUCUGAUGUUUAAUCGAGUUGAUAUUGAUGAUUCUUUGAAAUUUCUAUAUGAGCAGUUGGAUAGCAAGGUCUCUUGAUUACGUAGAGAAAGCGAUGAGCUGUUUUUGAAAGAGAAAGUGCCACCUCUUUCACUAGAACUUGUGAACAAUUUAU